rnacentral:rRNA from 1 species
UGUAAGCUUCAAACUGGGAUUAGAUACCCCACUAUUCUUGGUCGUAAAUAAAUAGAGAUUUACCAGAGUACUAUGAAUCAAUUAAAUAAAAUUUAAAACUCAAAGGGCUUGGCGGUGUUUUAGACCUCUCAGGGGAACCUGUCUCAUAAUCGACAAUCCACGUUAGACCUAACCUCUAUUUGCAAUUCAGUAUGUAUACCGUCGUCGUCAGGUAACUUUUAAAAAGCAAGAAGUUGGCAAAAAAAUUAAUUAAAUUUAGACGUCAGAUCAAGGUGCAGCCUACAUGGAGGUGAGGAUGGGUUACAAUUAAAAUUUAUAAUUACGGAUAGGAUGCUGAAAUUACUUUCCUAAUGAAGGAGGACUUGAAAGUAAAAUAAAUUUAUAUAAAAAUAAUUUGAAUAAGGCUCUGAAACGUGCACACACCGCCCGUCACCCUCUGCAGUCAA